AAAGACUGCAGUUUUGCACUAUUCAUAUCCAACGUUUGACCGUCCGUUUUAUUUGAAAGUUUUUUAUAAUUAGUAUUUUUAUUGAUAUUAAAUGAUAAAUUAUGAAUAAUACUUUAUGUGUGACUAUUUUUUAUUUUUUUUUAAUAAAUUUUCAAACAAGACGGACGUGGUUAGU
rnacentral:pre_miRNA from 1 species